GUUCCAAUGAGAAUGAAGGCUGAGGUGUGCGCCUUUUUUUUUUUUUCCUUCUUAGUCGUGUGUACAUCAUUGGGAAUGGAGGGAAAUAAAUGACUGGAUGGUCGCUGCUUUUUAAGUUUCAAAUUGACAUUCCAGACAAGCGGUGCCUGAGCCCGUGCCUGUCUUCAGAUCUUCACAGCACAGUUCCUGGGAAGGUGGAGCCACCAGCCUCUCCUUGACAAGCAAAGUGGAUCAGCAAAGGCUGCAGUCACCAGCAUCUUUUCCAACCUUAAUGAACUGUAUCCUCAAAAGAACACUAUCAGACUGGCUCUGCCGACUUCCAGUUCUGGAACAAGAUGGUUAAACUCAUUUUUCCCUGCUCUGCUCCUCUAAAUACAACUAAGUACCUUGGAAACUAUUCAGCAGACAAUGAUAAAGGGCUCUGAAAGCUAGAAGAAAAGGUGUACUUGCAAGAAACCUCAGGACUUGAGUAACAGCAACAUGGUAAGUUUUCUAAGUUUUCUUUUCGUCUCCCAUAUA
rnacentral:lncRNA from 10 species